rnacentral:rRNA from 1 species
GUCGCAAGACCAAAGUGGGGGACCUUCGGGCCUCAUGCCAUCAGAUGUGCCCAGAUGGGAUUAGCUAGUAGGUGGGGUAACGGCUCACCUAGGCGACGAUCCCUAGCUGGUCUGAGAGGAUGACCAGCCACACUGGAACUGAGACACGGUCCAGACUCCUACGGGAGGCAGCAGUGGGGAAUAUUGCACAAUGGGCGCAAGCCUGAUGCAGCCAUGCCGCGUGUGUGAAGAAGGCCUUCGGGUUGUAAAGCACUUUCAGCGGGGAGGAAGGCGGUGAGGUUAAUAACCUCAUCGAUUGACGUUACCCGCAGAAGAAGCACCGGCUAACUCCGUGCCAGCAGCCGCGGUAAUACGGAGGGUGCAAGCGUUAAUCGGAAUUACUGGGCGUAAAGCGCACGCAGGCGGUCUGUCAAGUCGGAUGUGAAAUCCCCGGGCUCAACCUGGGAACUGCAUUCGAAACUGGCAGGCUAGAGUCUUGUAGAGGGGGGUAGAAUUCCAGGUGUAGCGGUGAAAUGCGUAGAGAUCUGGAGGAAUACCGGUGGCGAAGGCGGCCCCCUGGACAAAGACUGACGCUCAGGUGCGAAAGCGUGGGGAGCAAACAGGAUUAGAUACCCUGGUAGUCCACGCCGUAAACGAUGUCGAUUUGGAGGUUGUGCCCUUGAGGCGUGGCUUCCGGAGCUAACGCGUUAAAUCGACCGCCUGGGGAGUACGGCCGCAAGGUUAAAACUCAAAUGAAUUGACGGGGGCCCGCACAAGCGGUGGAGCAUGUGGUUUAAUUCGAUGCAACGCGAAGAACCUUACCUGGUCUUGACAUCCACAGAACUUUCCAGAGAUGGAUUGGUGCCUUCGGGAACUGUGAGACAGGUGCUGCAUGGCUGUCGUCAGCUCGUGUUGUGAAAUGUUGGGUUAAGUCCCGCAACGAGCGCAACCCUUAUCCUUUGUUGCCAGCGGUUAGGCCGGGAACUCAAAGGAGACUGCCAGUGAUAAACUGGAGGAAGGUGGGGAUGACGUCAAGUCAUCAUGGCCCUUACGACCAGGGCUACACACGUGCUACAAUGGCAUAUACAAAGAGAAGCGACCUCGCGAGAGCAAGCGGACCUCAUAAAGUAUGUCGUAGUCCGGAUUGGAGUCUGCAACUCGACUCCAUGAAGUCGGAAUCGCUAGUAAUCGUAGAUCAGAAUGCUACGGUGAAUACGUUCCCGGGCCUUGUACACACCGCCCGUCACACCAUGGGAGUGGGUUGCAAAAGAAGUAGGUAGCUUAACCUUCGGGAGGGCGCUUACCACUUUGUGAUUCAUGACUGGGGUGAAGUCGUAACAAGGUAACCGUAGGGGAACCUGCGGUUGGAUCACCUCCUUACCUUAAAGAA